GACGAACGCUGGCGGCGUGCUUAACACAUGCAAGUCGAACGGUGACGGAGAGCUUGCUCUCCUGAUCAGUGGCGAACGGGUGAGUAACACGUGGGCAACCUGCCCCUGACUUCGGGAUAACGCUUCGAAAGAGGUGCUAAUACCGGAUACGAGUCCUCUAGGCAUCUUGAGGACUGGAAAGUUUUUCGGUCAGGGAUGGG
rnacentral:rRNA from 1 species